UUCGUUUGUGUUUUUACAUCACGCCUGUGUGCGGUUCGUUUUUUCUUCGUAAAUUGUUCUAGCAAAACGUGAUAUUCGUCAUGAACUUGCGAGCGCGAAUAUCCACCAGAUGCGUUCGCGGCACUUCGAAUGAAUAACGACACAUGGAAGGCAAGGUGCUCAUGAUCUGUUGUUGAGGACUACUGGUGCGAUACGGGACAUUCAUGGGCCUAACGGUCCUAAGCGACGCAUCAGCCAGCACAAGAUCCUGCCAACGGAACCAGCUCAACUAUGCGAAUUACCUAGCGCAAGAACUCAGACCAAGACGUGUAAGAAAACGUUGAACAUUCGACCAGUUUGUGACCGCAGCCAAUGAAAUCGCACGAUUCCAGGAGGCGUCCCCAGCCAAGCUUCAGCUCCAGUGACAAUGUUCAGAGGCUGUCCUUUACAUCCGUCAGUGACCGAAGGACCGGUGCCCUACUGCCAGCUCGGCCGAUGGCCGUCUGCGGCCCGAUGCGCCCAUUGCGGAGCCGUUGUCCAGACGCUUACGCAGAGCCGUCCCAGCACCCUGGCGUGGCUCUCCUGCGGUCUGCUCACACUGCUUUGCUUUCCUUACUGCUGCUGUUGCAUACCGCUUGCGCCGCUGUUCGUGCCUGGCUGCCAGCAAGUCACCCACCGGUGCCCCAGUUGUGGAUUUGUGCUGGCAAGUACCGGCCCCUGGUAGUUGGGACGUCGUCACCGUACGGAGGACCUGCCGCUGUACCCGUCGUCUGGCGGUCGCACUUCUGGGCUGCAAUGGCUGCACCUGGGACGCAGGGCACAUUGUUCUUGAAUGCGAUUUGGCUAAGUGGAGAAGAGUGUAACCAGUCGACAUGCAUCGACGCAAAGUGCCAUUGAAACAAAAAAUGUUAAAAGAAAAAGGAGUGCGAAAAAUCCUGUCUCGUUAAGAGCGCACGU